rnacentral:rRNA from 1 species
AUGCCCAAGCGCACCAUGGGAGGGAGGGCCGACGCCGGGGCCGACGCCAUGGUGUCACCUACGCCGGAGUCGGUGGCUCCUCCGCCGGAGCAGGUGACUCCUCUGCCACGCCAUCAGCCUCCUCUGCCACGCCAUCUGCGUCCUCUGCCGCAGCCCGUGGUGAACGUCGACGGCGACGACCACGAAGAAGAGGUCAUUAUGUGGGACCAGGUAGCUGCUCUGGCUCCUCAGACGGAGCAGGUGACGCCUCCUGUGCCCGAGCCUGUGGUCGUCAGCGAUGUCAACCAAGAAGACCCUCAGCCGUGUGUUCGUCUGCCGCGGUUGUUGCCUCCCCUGCCCCCACCUGUGGUCGUCGCCGAUGAGAACGAAGAAGAGGUUUUCUCUGGUCAGUACAAGGCAAAUAAGGUCCUAAGUGAUGAUGUCGACAGCGACCCAGAAACCCAGGGGAUCUACAGGAGGCAGAAGGUGAGGGAGCUGGACAGUGGUGUGCUCGAGAAACGUGUCAGGCCAAGAAUCGGAAGGGGGGGCUACGGAUGCCCUUACUGCAACAAGCUGAUGAAAGGCGACCUGUCGAGUACCAUCAACCAUGCAGUCGGAACAUCCCAAGGCAUCAUAAAGAAUGGCUACGCUUUCAGGGUGAAGCACGCCGCGUAUGCCGACUACUUGAUGAGGCUUCUUUGA